CUGUCAUUUAUGAGUUAUAUAAAAACAAAGGUUAAAAAGUAAAACCCUAAAAUUUCCCAAAACCCAAACGGCACAGAGCCAAAAACCCUAACAUUUUCUCUCUCUUACUUUUUCAUUCUUGCGUCGCCCUAAUCCAAACUUUGGUGAGAUCAUUUUGGUUUUUUCCACUUUAUCUUCAACCCUUAAAAUUUGUUUUGUUUGUUUAGUUCUUCAAAUUUUAUUUUUUGUUUAAUCAUUUUUUGGUUCAGUGAGUUUGCUACAUAAGUUUCAUUUUGUUUAUUUCAAAUCUUGAUGGCUAACCUCCCUGGAGGCUUCAUUUGAGGAAGAAGAGAACUCCCAUGUCUAGCCAAGCUUGAUGCUGAUUUUAAUGAUGUUUGAUGGAUUUGUAUUGUAAUUGGCAUACUUUUAUAUUUUAGUUGCAAAUUAACUUUUAGCAUAUUUAGUUUUAACUCUUAAGUCUGUUGCAAUGUUGGUUUCUUUGUUAUAAAUUUGAAUGUUGGAUAGCUGGAAAUUCGGAAUA